rnacentral:rRNA from 1 species
UGGGGAAUAUUGCGCAAUGGGGGGAACCCUGACGCAGCCAUGCCACGUGAAUGAAGAAGGCCUUAGGGUUGUAAAGUUCUUUCGGUAUUGAGGAAGGUUGAUGUGUUAAUAGCACAUCAAAUUGACGUUAAAUACAGAAGAAGCACCGGCUAACUCCGUGCCAGCAGCCGCGGUAAUACGGAGGGUGCGAGCGUUAAUCGGAAUAACUGGGCGUAAAGGGCACGCAGGCGGUUAUUUAAGUGAGGUGUGAAAGCCCCGGGCUUAACCUGGGAAUUGCAUUUCAGACUGGGUAACUAGAGUACUUUAGGGAGGGGUAGAAUUCCACGUGUAGCGGUGAAAUGCGUAGAGAUGUGGAGGAAUACCGAAGGCGAAGGCAGCCCCUUGGGAAUGUACUGACGCUCAUGUGCGAAAGCGUGGGGAGCAAACAGGAUUAGAUACCCUGGUAGUCCACGCUGUAAACGCUGUCGAUUUGGGGGUUGGGGUUUAACUCUGGCGCCCGUAGCUAACGUGAUAAAUCGACCGCCUGGGGAGUACGGCCACAAGGUUA